rnacentral:pre_miRNA from 1 species
AUCACCUGGGCAUCUAGUUAAAAUGCAGAUUCUGUUUCAGUAGUUCAGGGAUGGAGCUGAAAAUCUGCAUUUCUAACCAGCUCCCAGGAGAUGCUUA